GCUGAGAACAAGUGCUCUUGAACACUGAGCUAACUCUCCACCCGUGUUCUUUCGUUUUGAUAGGGCCUUACUAUGACAAUCCCCCUGCCUCAGCCUCCUGAAGGCUGUGGUGACUGUCAUAUGACACUUUAUCUGCUGAGUUUAUUUUUCAAACAGGAAUGUCACUGUGUAUCUCACAGUACAUUAAAAAAAACAUUAUUUCUGUAGGAUGUUUCUAUAUGGGGCUCAGUGGGAGUGAGAAGUCUGGCUACAUAUUUAGUAAGUGUGUCUAUUUUGAUAGCUUUGGCUAAUAAGGUUUCUUUGUUGGGGCUGUCCUUAAAUAGAUUCCCUGUCAGGCUGUGCCGGUGUGACUUGCAGAUACUUUCCAGACUUCUUGUGACUGCCUCCUCUUUCCUCACAUGCCUGGUCCUCUCCAGCUUCCCCUCCCCAUGCCCUUCCUGACAUCUUGGGGCACCCUGUGAUUAACAUCUGUGUUGUCCUUUGUCCUUCUCACUUAGACUGUAUUUGUUAUUCUUGUCUUGGGCUCCUCGGAGGACGCUGCGUGGCACUGGGGCUGUGUGUGUGCUGAAUGAAUUAGACCGGUCAGCCAACUUGGAGUAGUAGGCCUCAAACAGGGUAAAGAUUUAACUACUUCAUUACAGGGAGCUUUCUGCUGGAGCUACUGUCUGGAACGGGCUCAGAUUCUGUUUUGAAGAAGUGCGCCCAUUGUUGACUGCCCACUGCCCUGGAGGAAUACAGCAAGCAGGGCAAAUUGUAUGGCUAAGGUUGAUUUCGUCUCUGGUAUGUGAUUAACUUGGGGAGAGGGAGAGAGAAAUAUUCACUGGGAACAAAGAAUUCAAAAUGAGUGAGGUGGACCUAGUGACAACCACACUACUUCCUACGUGAGGUUUAAUACGAAGUGAUCCUUUCUGAUGCCUGAAUUUGUCCUAGCAGGUAGCAAAGAAUGUCUAGACUCCCCAAAAGGCAAGAUAAGUCUACAGUAAGAAGUACCUGGGAUGGGGAUUUGGCUCAAUGUACCUAUUAGAAAGGCCAGUAUGGUCAGAACUAAGGCUAGACACUCUCCUGACCAGCAUCUAGUCCCUGGAGUGGGCUUUGGAGCAAUAAUCAUCUGACCCAAGGUAGAGUUUCAGGAGCGCAGGAGUCUGGAGGUGUGAUGCCCCACAGGGUAGCAGCCAGGAGCUGAAAUCUGGCCCACUGGAAUGGCUUGGUGAGUAGCCUUCUUCUUCAUUCCUGUUAUGGUUGAGACAAAGCUUCCUUCCAAAUGGGUCAUUGUGAAGCUUACUCUCUUGCUAACUAGUGGGUGGAGCCACUCACUGAGGGGUGAUUGUGUUGUGGAGGCUCUGACCUCAGUAGGGUUCAGAAUUUGUUGGUAUUAAUGUUAGGUGUGUCACCGCUGACAGGGUGUCUUGUCCUUAGCUUCUCCCCUGUCUCCUGUGAGGCUCCUGUGAGGUGGCGCUCUGCUCUACCAGGCCUUCCUGCUAUCAUGAGUCCCACACCAAUGGAGAAAUCCAAUCAGAGACCAAGACCUCCAAGGCAGGGAGCCAAAGUAAACCUUUCUUACUUUAUACCAUUUUCCCCUCAGGUUAUUUGUUGCAGCAACAGGAAACUGACCAACACCAUCCUGUACACUGUGGCUCUUCCCUCUGAUGAGAAGUGUGGGGUGUGGAGCUGAAGCCUCAAUGUCUAAGACCACGUUCUACCAAUUACCCACAUAUAGACACGCUCCAAGGCCUGAUGGGAAGGGCCAUCUGUGUAUCUUGCUUAGAACAGCAGCUGGCACUGUGUGGAAGGUCAGUGAACAUUGGUGAUGGGGUGUUUGCUUGUCCUAGAGUCAGGCUCUUGUGCUGCAGUUCAGGCCAGCCUGGAACUUGUGGCAAUUCUCCUACUUCAGCUUCCAGAAUUCUGAGACUGUAGACCAUGAGCCAAGACUCCUUGCUUGGUCAUGACCCCCACCCACAGGAUGUCCUACUGCCUAGGACACUGUGUCAGGGCAUGUUCUAUCCUGUGCUGUGACACUAGGUCUUUGUCAGCCUAUCUUAAAACCAUCAAAAGGGGGGGGGGUGGUGGGGAGACUUCAGGGGUGCUCUUCAACUUCAAGGUAGCUGUCUUUGUCACAUGAGGAUGAUUUCUCACAUGAGGCCGAUUUGCCAUGGUUUAUCUUGGUUCUCUGCUUGACUAAGUCUGGAAUUAACUAAACCCAGGCGGCUAGACACACCUGUGAAGGCGUCUUCUUGGUUGGAUCAUUUGAGGUUAGAAGAUCCACCCUCUGGGGGCAGCCUCUAUUAA
rnacentral:lncRNA from 1 species